rnacentral:tRNA from 1 species
GUUUUAAUAGUUUAAUAAAAACAUUGGUCUUGUAAAUCAAAAAUAAGAGUGUAUCUUUUAGAACU